rnacentral:rRNA from 1 species
AUACAUAGGGGGCGAGCGUUGUCCGGAAUUAUUGGGCGUAAAGCGUGCGCAGGCGGUUUGUUAAGCUUAAGGUUAAAUACUGAAGCUCAACUUCAGUCCGUCUUAAAAACUGGCAGACUUGAGUGUGGUAGAGGCAAGUGGAAUUUCUAGUGUAGCGGUAGAAUGCGUAGAUAUUAGAAGGAACACCAGUGGCGAAGGCGACUUGCUGGGCCAUUACUGACGCUCAUGCACGAAAGCGUGGGGAGCAAACAGGAGUAGAUACCCUGGUAGUCCACGCCGUAAACGAUGAGUACUAAGUGUCGGGAUUCCCGGUGCUGAAGUUAACACAUUAAGUACUCCGCCUGAGUAGUACGGUCGCAAGGCUGAA